UGGGGAAUAUUGCACAAUGGGCGGAAGCCUGAUGCAGCAACGCCGCGUGAGGGAUGACGGCCUUCGGGUUGUAAACCUCUUUUAGCAGGGAAGAAGCGAGAGUGACGGUACCUGCAGAAAAAGCGCCGGCUAGCUACGUGCCAGCAGCCGCGGUAAUACGUAGGGCGCAAGCGUUAUCCGGAAUUAUUGGGCGUAAAGAGCUCGUAGGCGGUCUGUCGCGUCUGCUGUGAAAACCCGAGGCUCAACCUCGGGCCUGCAGUGGGUACGGGCAGACUAGAGUGCGGUAGGGGAGAUUGGAAUUCCUGGUGUAGCGGUGGAAUGCGCAGAUAUCAGGAGGAACACCGAUGGCGAAGGCAGAUCUCUGGGCCGUAACUGACGCUGAGGAGCGAAAGGGUGGGGAGCAAACAGGCUUAGAUACCCUGGUAGUCCACCCCGUAAACGUUGGGAACUAGUUGUGGGACCUUUCCACGGUCUCCGUGACGCAGCUAACGCAUUAAGUUCCCCGCCUGGGGAGUACGGCCGCAAGGCUAAAACUCAAAGGAAUUGAC
rnacentral:rRNA from 1 species